GCCGACCCGACUUGGAGGAGGCAGCACAGUCAGUAACUAAGGAGUUCAGGACUGGGUGCUUAAACAGGUGGAGCCACAAUGACUGAAACAGAUGUUUCAGUAGAAGCCAUGGCAAAUGCAGGAGCUGUUUGUGUUUGGAGAUGGAACUUGUUUCUGUUUGGAGAUGAGAACUUGCAUUUUGGGCGG